CAGUGGAAUUCUGUAUGUUGAAUUAUCUCUGCAUUUCUUGGAUGAAGCCUGCUUGAUUGUGAUCUCUGCGUGCUCGUAACUGAAAUCCAAUCAUCAGGAAUCCCAGUGCAGCAGGAUGUUAGAGAAAAUAAACAAGUUCAAUUCCACCAAACGUUGGUGAAUGAUGGCCCAAUCAGCCUGUACUUCCUUGCUCUCCUGCUGCAAUGUCAUCGACUU